rnacentral:rRNA from 1 species
AGCGAACGCUGGCGGCAGGCCUAACACAUGCAAGUCGAACGAACUCUUCGGAGUUAGUGGCGGACGGGUGAGUAACACGUGGGAACGUGCCUUUAGGUUCGGAAUAACUCAGGGAAACUUGUGCUAAUACCGAAUGUGCCCUUCGGGGGAAAGAUUUAUCGCCUUUAGAGCGGCCCGCGUCUGAUUAGCUAGUUGGUGAGGUAACGGCUCACCAAGGCGACGAUCAGUAGCUGGUCUGGGAGGAUGACCAGCCACACUGGGACUGAGACACGGCCCAGACUCCUACGGGAGGCAGCAGUGGGGAAUCUUGCGCAAUGGGCGAAAGCCUGACGCAGCCAUGCCGCGUGAAUGAUGGAGGUCUUAGGAUUGUAAAAUUCUCUCACCGGGGACGAUAAUGACGGUACCCGGAGAAGAAGCCCCGGCUAACUUCGUGCCAGCAGCCGCCGUAACAC